ACUGUGAAACUGUCUUUAGGGAAGGUAAAUUGGUGGAGGGCAGAAUUGCCUCUCCUUCUUGGUGUGGACCCUAGGGCCAGGCAGGGACUCAGCUGGGACAGGGACACUUCUGCUGUUGCUCUAGCGGAGGCAAGCUGCAAGCAGGAGUAGCUUGGGAGCCAGAGGGAAAUCUGUGCCCAGCCUCUGGGCAGAUCUGGGCUUGUAGCGCUGGGACGUGACAAUCUCAAUCCCCAGGGGGGGAGCCUGAGAGGCUCUGGAAGGGCGGGGCCACGGGCACUCCACGCUGGUGCCAGGCUUUCAGGCCGUGGCCAGGUAAUCACGGAGAAGUAGGUAUCAUAAGUGGUAGGCACCAGAGAGAAGAGACUAGGGUGAGGGUUGCUUUUCAGUGUUUGGGAGUCAGGAUAAUGCCUCCACAGGCCCCAUUGUCCCUCAAGCAGUAACGGGAUUAAUCUCCAACAUCCCCUCCCAAAUCCUGGAGUCUGGAGUGUGUAAGCCAGCUGCAAGCAGUCUUCCUAUCCGCAGGGUACAGAGCUAGGAAGAUUAAGAGAAAGAGGGGGUGUGGCAGGAAGCACUGGGGAGCCUCUGCGGGGAUGAGUUUAGAGUUUCUCAUGGGGGGGGGGGGACUGCUCUCCCUUGGGCUUGGCCCUGGAGCACUGUGCGUCCCCUUUUGAGGCGCUGUGGAAGUGGGGAAGGGAGCAGGGGAAGAAGGAGAGGAUUGGAAUGUGGUCAAUAAGGGAUUCCAAGGCAGCUUUUGCGAAGGGAGUCACUUUGCUGUUGGGAUCUUCCUUCUUACUGUAUUUAAGAUCUUUGGAGCAGAAGAGGAACAAAGCAGGAUUUGCUGACCUGACCGACCGGGCUCCAGUAAUCUGGGCACAUUGCUUCCCAGUGAAUGCACUGCUCCAUCCACUCCUGGACAGAUAAGUGCCCGGGAGACAGUCAUGGGCUGACUGGACUUGAAUGUCACUGGAAAAGGAAGAACUCAAACCAGCCACCAACAGGACCAGAGUGCCAGGUUUCCUGGAAACAUCACCCAAACCCAAAAAUUUCUCAGAAUUUUCAGAGGCGCCAAAGGACUGUUUGCAUUUCAAUGGGUAUGUUCUGAAAGGCCUGGAAAGUUCUUAGCUUUGCUUUCUCACUGGAAGGCAAGACCCACUGCCAUGAAGAAGAGACAGCACCCUUGGAGUAGCUUCAUGAAAAGCCAAGAAAAGGGACCUCUGGGACAUUUUAAUUGUUUAAUUCUUGGCUACAGAGACAAGACGAAGGGGAUCAGGCCAUGACAGAAUGUUACUGAGAAUGGAUCCAAGACUAUGAGAUCAGUGCCGGUGAGAUAGCUCAUUGGGUAACUGUGCUUGGUGCUCAAACCUGACAGUCUGAAACCCGCCCCAGAAACCCACAGGAAGAUGGAGAGAAGAGAACAACUGUACAGCGCUUUCCUCUGACUUCUGCAUGUGAAUGGUGCUACACACCCACAUAACAUACAUCUGGCGAACUUGGCAUUUCCUGUGUCACAAAACAAAUUAAAUGCUAUCAACAUAGUCAGCCAAUGUGAUGACCGUCUUAACAUCAAGAAAAAUCAAGAUUCCUAUGGACCAUUGUUGCGGGAAAUAUUAAAAAAUGAACCCAUCAGUUCUCCAUGGGGCCGGAUCACACUCCUGCACUCUUGCAGCUGCCGUCAACUCUCUCCAUCUAGCCCCUACAGCAUCUGGCUCACUUGCCUCAGGAGCAACUAGUUCUUCCUCAGCGUAAAUUCCACAUUCCGGUAACUAAAUGGAACCACCAACCUCAAGGUUGGAUAACACAAUACCCACUAACCUGGUAAAAUCAGGACUCUUAAAGCUUAAUUAACUAAUCAGAUUUAUAUAUCAACAAUAUCAUAAUUUAUAAGAUGCCAACACAACAACUUCAGAGUCAAUUGACAAUGACAAAAGCUUUAUCCUAAUUAAUCUAACCUUCCAAUACCAUGACUACUUCUGGUUGGUAAAUGCCACUUGGGUUCAUGUCUGCAACCAUCUUCCUUCUCCUUUCCUCUUCCUCUUCCUCUCUCCCCUGAGACACUCUGUCUCUGCAACUCUUAGCAAUGCCUCCCUUUUGCCUGUUCAAUCACAGGCCUCCUCUGCACUAAUGUAAUUGGACAAGGAAAAUCCUGCAACAUAUCACCCCUUCUGUUUAAUUAAAUUAAAAAAAAACACUUUCUUUCAAAAUAAACUUUGAGCACAGCUAUUAUCAUUUUGUAAUUUAUAUGGUAUAAGAUAGACCUAACACCCAGUCUAACAUUUUCGCCAAUAAAAUUGAACACUGCCCUCUAUCCUAACUUAAAAAUUCUGUACCUGGCUGUGUCCCAGCUUCAGAUAGAAUGCCAUCUGAAAACCAUCCUCUCAAAUCUAUUCUCUCAAAGUAAAUAGCCUGGGUUGGCUAAUGAGACUAUAAGUCUUCAACCCCAUCAGAAAUUCAAGAAUGACUGAUGUUAACUGAAAAUAUAUAGGAAGCCUAACACAGCUUCCAAAACUUAGCCAAUUUAUAGAGACCGCUGAUCACCUGGGCAGUCCCUUACUUCAGAAUGUUGAAGCAUUGGUCUUCAGCCUCUGGUACAGAGCCAUCUAAUAGACCUUAGAGAAACAGGAUUUUAGGACUAGCCUAUUUUGUCUUGGCAGGACCAAACUGUCCUCACCUAUAAUUGUGUUCUCUCUUUGGGCAGUAUUAUGUCUGUAGAUGAAAUGAGUCCAUUCUUGCCUAGUGGCUGUCUUUCCACAACUGGAGUAACUCAUAGAUGCUCAAUUUCUUCUUUGAAUCCAAGACAGGGAAAGCUGUCAGGAUCAGACUAGUCUCAACAACAAGUGAAUAAAUAACAUUAAAUGUCACAUUCUGUGGAUUUUUGACAUUUUUGAAAACCAACUAUCUAUGUAAAGUAAUCUGGACAGUUGUCCAUUAACUACUCUCAACUAUUUCGGAUUAAAAUAUCUGAAAAUACUCUAACAAAACUCAGAGCCAUGAAUUUGCCAUUUGGCCCUAAACUCACAGGCUUAAACAUCUCAGAUCAGAUUAAAAUAACAGUUAUAGAAGGACUGAGUCUAAUCCUGUAUUUACAAAAUUUUGUAUUUAUAGAAGAAAUUUAUACCAAUGAAACCCUUGAUUUUGCAUCAAAAUAAAUUAUGUACCAGUUAAGAAAUUAUGACUUCAGCUUAGUAACAAUUAAAGAGUUUCUACCAAAUGAGAUUAUGGCUAUGCAAUCAAUUCUAGCUAUCCCUUCCUGUUCACAACAAAAGGCAACAGAGUUUACACUGAACAGAGCAAGAGAGUGAAUAUUCUGUUCUUUGUGUGAAAGUGAUUUGGUUAUGAUCCUUCCUAUAGAAGGAAGGAGAAAUCCUUAUAAGCCAGAUGUCAUAGACUGCAUGGAAUUGUGCAAGGUCACCUUGUCUGAGCAGAUGACAUUUGGCAGAUCACAGCAACCAUUGACUAAGUUGCAAUGGGGAACACAACCCUGGAAUCAAAUGAGGCCUUUUAGGAGAAACCUAAAAUGUCUGCACAUGGCACUGUUUAUGACUUAGCAUCUGGGACAAGAUUA